rnacentral:rRNA from 1 species
GACGAACGCUGGCGGCGUGCCUAAUACAUGCAAGUAGAACGCAGUUGCGAACGGGUGAGUAACGCGUAGGUAACUGCAUCAUAGCGGGGGAUAACUAUUGGAAACGAUAUAUAAUACCGCAUACUGUGAGAUGGACCUGGGUGGGAUUAGCUAGUUGGUGAGGUAAGGGCUCACCAAGGCGAAGAUACAUAGCCGACCUGAGAGGGUGAUCAGACACACUGGGACUUAGACACGGCCCAGACUCCUACGGGAGGCAGCAGUGGGGAAUUUUGGACAAUGGGGGAAACCCUGAUCCAGCCAUCCCGCGUGUGUGAUGAAGGCCUUCGGGUUGUAAAGCACUUUUGGCAGGAAAGCGGUACCUGCAGAAUAAGCACCGGCUAACUACGUGCCAGCAGCCGCGGUAAUUC